GGGGAAUAUUGCACAAUGGGGGAAACCCUGAUGCAGCGACGCCGCGUGGAGGAAGAAGGUCUUCGGAUUGUAAACUCCUGUUGUUGAGGAAGAUAAUGACGGUACUCAACAAGGAAGUGACGGCUAACUACGUGCCAGCAGCCGCGGUAAAACGUAGGUCACAAGCGUUGUCCGGAAUUACUGGGUGUAAAGGGAGCGCAGGCGGGAAGACAAGUUGGAAGUGAAAUCUAUGGGCUCAACCCAUAAACUGCUUUCAAAACUGUUUUUCUUGAGUAGUGCAGAGGUAGGCGGAAUUCCCGGUGUAGCGGUGGAAUGCGUAGAUAUCGGGAGGAACACCAGUGGCGAAGGCGGCCUACUGGGCACCAACUGACGCUGAGGCUCGAAAGUGUGGGUAGCAAACAGGAUUAGAUACCCUGGUAGUCCACACCGUAAACGAUGAUUACUAGGUGUUGGAGGAUUGACCCCUUCAGUGCCGCAGUUAACACAAUAAGUAAUCCACCUGGGGAGUACGACCGCAAGGUUGAAACUCAAAGGAAUUGACGGGGGCCCGCACAAGCAGUGGAGUAUGUGGUUUAAUUCGACGCAACGCGAAGAACCUUACCAAGUCUUGACAUCCUGCGACGAUGCUGGAAACAGUAUUUUCCUUCGGGACGCAGAGACAGGUGGUGCAUGGUUGUCGUCAGCUCGUGUCGUGAGAUGUUGGGUUAAGUCCCGCAACGAGCGCAACCCUUAUGGUCAGUUACUACGCAAGAGGACUCUGGCCAGACUGCCGUUGACAAAACGGAGGAAGGUGGGGAUGACGUCAAAUCAUCAUGCCCUUUAUGACCUGGGCUACACACGUACUACAAUGGCGUUAAACAAAGAGAAGCAAGACCGCGAGGUGGAGCAAAACUCAAAAAUAACGUCUCAGUUCGGAUUGUAGUCUGCAACUCGACUACAUGAAGCUGGAAUCGCUAGUAAUCGCAGAUCAGAAUGCUGCGGUGAAUACGUUCCCG
rnacentral:rRNA from 1 species